GAUGAACGCUAGCGGCAGGCCUAAUACAUGCAAGUCGAGGGGUAGUCCCGAUUUAUCGGGAUGAGACCGGCGCACGGGUGCGUAACGCGUGUGCAACCUACCUCGAUCUGGGGGAUAGCCCGGAGAAAUCCGGAUUAAUACCGCAUAAAAACACAGGGCAGCAUUGCCCAAUGUUCAAACAUUCAUGGGAUCGGGAUGGGCAUGCGUGCCAUUAGCUAGUUGGCGGGGUAACGGCCCACCAAGGCUAAGAUGGCCAGGGUAUCUGAGAGGAUGGCCCCCCAGACUGGUACUGAGAAACGGAUCAGACUCCUACGGAGGGCAGCAGUAAGGAAUAUUGGUCAAUGGAGGCAACGCUGAACCAGCCAUGCCGCGUGCAGGAAGACGGCCCUCCGGGUUGUAAACUGCUUUUAUCCGGGAAUAAACCUAUCUACGUGUAGAUAGCUGAAUGUACCGGAGGAAUAAGGAUCGGCUAACUCCGUGCAAGCCGCCGCCGUAACAC
rnacentral:rRNA from 1 species